rnacentral:lncRNA from 10 species
CUUCUCCUAUGACAUUCCAUGAAGGGAGUUGUGGGCAGAGUCAGGUUGUACUGGGGUUGCAGAAACAGAGGAAUCUUUAUAGGAUCAUCUCUAUGUUUAGGCAUCAAUCCACCGUAGAAAGAACCAUCCAGUAGCCUGGGCAACAUAGCAAAACCCCAUCUCUGCAAAAAAUAAAGAAAAAAAUUAGCCGAGCAUAAUUGGUGUGUGCCUGUAGUCCCAGCUACUUGGGAGGCUGAGGUGGGAGGAUCGCUUGAGCCCAAGAGGGAGAGGUUGCAGAAGGCUGAGAUCUCACCACUGCACUCCAGUCUGGGCAACAGAGCAAGAAAGACCCUGUGAAAGAGAGAGAGAGAAAGAAAGAAGAGAGAGAGAGAAAGGGAGAAAGAGAGAAAGGGAGAAAGAGAGAA